rnacentral:piRNA from 1 species
UAUGCUGCGCAGCCCAGCUAUUUUAGCAU